AAUAAUAAGAAUAUUAUUAAACUAACUGAGAAUGCCGAAACGGCUACAAAACCCUAAGAGGCUACAUUGUGAAUGACUUGAUAUUCUAUGAGCUACAAAGCACCAUAUAUAUAGAGAACUAACAUAACUAUAAUAAGCAAGAAAACGAAACCCUAAUACUAAUGGGCUAAGCCCAAAUUCAAACAAUAAAAUAAAUAACUAUUUUCCAACAGUUUCAAACACUCUUCAUUCCUCCUACUGUUUACCCUUCUUCAUCCCUCGUUUCAUUGACGUAUAGGGGAAUGUACUUCCCCUCUACGCUGCACAGAAAAAACAAAAAAACUAAAUCCAAAACAGUUAUCAAACUCGCCCAUUGUGUUCUGAUUUUGGAGUGUAACAAAGUUUGCUAUUGUUUUCAGUAACCUACACGCAGCCCUAGCGGAAUUACCCUCUAUGGACGGACGAGUGGUCGGGGGCUCGUUAGCACUAUCUGCUUCUUUGAGGUGACACUAGCUCUUUUCGUGAUUGGGAAGACGAUAACGUUCACGACUCGAUGAUUUAUGUUCGGGGUUCUGAUGAUUUCUGCUGUUCUUUUGAGGCAGUUGCAGCUCACCUGUUAGACUUCUGCUGCAUUCUGUUUCGUCAAGCACAACAUUUACAACACCCAGUGAAAUAUACGGAAAAAGUCAUUCAUGUUCGGCUAGAAAUAUCGAAACUGCCAGAUGUAAGGAAGACGGUUGCAAAGGGAAAUCGAAGAAAAAAGAAAUCUACUGCUGCUUUCGUAUUAAGUAAUCUGCAUUACAAAUUAAUACUUAUACACUGCCGCGAUUCGCAAGAUGGAUUACAGAAUUUUGACAUGAUUACCUUUCAAAAAUCUUACUGUAAUGCUGAGAAGAGAAUAUAUCCAUCACGGUGACUCUUUGCAUGGGCAAAAUGUUGUGUUUGGCUCAUAUAAUUAUGAGUUGGCAACCAUUUCCUCUCAACUUUGUGGACUUUGGAAGCAUGUUUUGUGGAAGCAUGUUUUGUGGAAGCAUGUUUUGUGGAAGCAUGUUUUGAGGAAGCAUGUUUUGUGG
rnacentral:lncRNA from 1 species